rnacentral:misc_RNA from 1 species
UGAAAUGCGAAAAGUAAUGCGAUUUGCAUGAAUCUGUGAGUCAUCAAGUUUUUGAACGCACCUUGCACCAUAUGAGUAAUUGUAUGGUAUACCUGUUUGAGAAUCGUAAAAACCCCAUCCUCUUUAGCAUCACAUAUCAUCAUCAUCACCCCCUCACAAGGGGGGAGGUGUGUGUGUGUGUGCAAAAUAGGGACUUGUCGGAUGUCGAGUAAAAUGGACUCCGAUUAAAUGUAGUAGGUUUGGAUCAGGCUGGUGGCCUGGGACAUUGUGUGCUAGAGACUAACAGUCUUCUCACAGUGCGUCCCGGGUCAAUUAAAAGCUGGCCUGUGGUAGAGCCUUCAACAGCGCAUCGGGAGCAAUCCGGAUGGCUACACUUUUCUCUUUGAUCUCAAAUCAGGUA